rnacentral:rRNA from 1 species
AACGAACGCUGGCGGCAUGCCUAACACAUGCAAGUCGAACGAGACCUUCGGGUCUAGUGGCGCACGGGUGCGUAACGCGUGGGAACCUGCCCUUAGGUUCGGAAUAACUCCCCGAAAGGGGUGCUAAUACCGGAUAAUGUCUUCGGACCAAAGAUUUAUCGCCUUUGGAUGGGCCCGCGUUGGAUUAGCUAGUUGGUAGGGUAAAAGCCUACCAAGGCGACGAUCCAUAGCUGGUCUGAGAGGAUGAUCAGCCACACUGGGACUGAGACACGGCCCAGACUCCUACGGGGGCAGCAGUGGGGAAUAUUGGACAAUGGGCGAAAGCCUGAUCCAGCAAUGCCGCGUGAGUGAUGAAGGCCUUAGGGUUGUAAAGCUCUUUUACCCGGGAUGAUAAUGACAGUACCGGGAGAAUAAGCUCCGGCUAACUCCGUG